rnacentral:rRNA from 1 species
AAUGAACGCUGGCGGCGUGCCUAACACAUGCAAGUCGGAUGUGCCCGCAAGGGUGCAUGGCAGACGGGUGAGUAACGCGUGGGGAAUCUACCUUUUAGUGGGGAAUAACGCUCCGAAAGGAGUGGUAAUACCGCAUGUGACCAUCGGCUGGGAUGCUGAUGGUGAAACCCUGGGACCUUCGGGCCAGGGGCUAGAAGAGGAUCCUGCGUCUGAUUAGCUAGUUGGCGGGGUAACGGCCCACCAAGGCGACGAUCAGUAGCCGGCCUGAGAGGGUGAUCGGCCACACUGGAACUGAGACACGGUCCAGACUCCUACGGGAGGCAGCAGUGGGGAAUUUUGCGCAAUGGACGAAAGUCUGACGCAGCAACGCCGCGUGGGUGAUGAAGGUCUUCGGAUUGUAAACCUCUUUCAGCAGGGACGAAGGGUGACUGACGGUACCUGUAGAAGAAGCACCGGCCAACUACGUGCCAGCAGCCGCGGUAAAGA